GUGAAACCAUUCAUAAUGUGGUUAGACUUGGUCAGAAGAUUAGGUAUACCUAAUCUUUUGACCAAGUCUAACCACAUUACAUGCUUUAAACUGCUAUUGUAAAACAAACUUUUUGCAAAAACUCUAAAAACACAGCUCUCUACAUUAUACGCAUCAUUCUCAUUUGGAAAAACACUGCCAUUUAAAUGCCACACUCAUUAAAUGAUGACCUUCAGCCAGUGAUCAUUUGUGAAAACACACAGAAUUCGUUCACUUAGAAAUCAAAACUCAGUUUUGAGAAAGAUUUUUUUACCCCCUUGCAUUUCUGUUUACAUUGUAUAUAUAUAUAUGUAUAUCUAUAUACUGUGUGUGUGUGUGUGUGUGUGUGUGUGUGUGCGCACGCGCGGUUUGCCCUCAUUCUUCUCUUCUUUCUUUAUUAGUUCAGUCUCUACAGCACGUCUGCAUGAUCUUGAGCAGUUUAAGCUCCUUCACAGCUCUGUUAUGGCGAAUGUUCAAACCAGGAUUCUUCAUCUGGAUCUCUCUAUCAUCAUUAUUUUCCUGAUUCAUGCAGAUUAUUCAAAAUCUAAUCAAGAGAAAAGGAUUCAGCAGCACAUCAACAAAACAGUGUUUGUGGGGGAAACAGUUACACUUCACUGCAACAAAACCCAACUUGAUGAUGAUUUCACAUGGAAAAUGAACAGCUUCGUUAUUUUUAGGCAGGACUCUGAAAGAAACAGAACAAUGACAAACUUCAGCUCAAACAGGAUUCACAUCGACCCCGCAGCUCCAAGAGAAUUAACAAUACAUCAAAUACAAGCGUCUGAUGCAGGAAACUACAGCUGUUACCCAGCAGCAAUAAGAUGGACAUUAACAAUAACAGAAAACACAACCAGACCAGAAUCACUCAAACAAAUGCCGCUGUACAUCAUCUUCUCAUGUUCUGGAGUCAUUAUGAUCUGUCUGAUCAUAACCAUCUGCGUUCACAGUAAACUGAAGCAGAUGAAGACAAACUCUGAUCUCUGUGAAAAAGACCAGGAGGCAGAAAGUUUAUUUACCACAGAACAGGUGAAGAUGAUCUCUGACUGUGACAAACACACAGUAACAGCCUGUGUCUACAGUCUUCAUACAGUUUCAUGAACAUCUUUUCUUCUCAAGACAGCAGUGUGUGUGUCUGACAAUUUAUAGAAGCAGAUUAAUCUCAAAUAUAAUUCACGCAAAAAACACGAUUCACACAUGCGUAGACAAUUUCACAUGCAUGAAACCUAAUUCACAUACACACAAAAAAAAUUCACGUGCGUGAAAAAAAAUAUAUAUUCACAAAAAGCAAUUCACAUGCGCAAAAUAAAAUUAUAUAUUCAUAAAAUACAUUUCACAAAUGCAAAACACAAUUCGUAGAUAUACAACUGUGCACAAAAACCUUUGAAUGUUUAAAAUGUACGAGUGUCUGAAUGUACAUGGCUUAUGAUAUGAUUGGUUGAAUGGUAAGCUCGCAUCUGAUUGGCUAAAGAGUACGACAGACCCACGUGGGAAGAGAGCUCUGCCAGGAAAGUCUCAAAAACACACACACACAAAUCCGAGUGGAUUCGUAGUAAAUGACGAUUUGUACAUUCAGACUACUCGUACAUUUUAAACAUUCAAAGGUUUUUGUGUCACAGUUGUACAUCUACGAAUUGUGUUUUGCUAUUUGUGAAAUGUAUUUUAUGAAUAUAUAAUUUUAUUUUGCGCAUGUGAAUUGCUUUUUGUGAAUAUAUUUUUUUUUCACGCACGUGAAUUUUUUUUUGUGUGUAUGUGAAUUAGGUUUCAUGCAUGUGAAAUUGUCUACGCAUGUGUGAAUCGUGUUUUUUUGCGUGAAUUAUAUUUGAGACUAAUCUGCUUCCAUAGACACUCAUCAGAUGAGCAUCUCAAUACAGGAAGAUGUUUGAGAACGAGACCAUUACAAUAAUAAAUACAGUCUCAGAGGAUCUGUAUGUGAAUGUGUAUUUGCCUCUAAAAUGCUGUUUGCUUAUUUGAUUUAAAAUAUCUACCAAAUAAUUUCACUUUAAUUUUCAGACAGAGGAAUAUGAGUUAUAAACUUUGAUAUGGCCAACUAUAGAUACAACAUCAUUUACCAUUAUCAAAUAAACAACUGACAGAUUUCAUAGAAAGUCACAAAGUGUAUGAUGGUCACAGACUCUGAUUUUUUAGCUUCAAACAAUGAAUCCAUCCAGUUGGAGGAUAUCAAAUAUGAUUGAAAUGUUAAACUGAUUUUAGAACACUUUUUUUUCUUUUUCAUUUAUCGCACAUCUCAGCAACAAGGCAUAUAUUUCUGUGUGACUUUGUCAUGUUCGGAGUGACUUGAAAGUCUGGUAGUGUAUCAUCAAGUUGUUUAGUGUGUUUUUUGCCUGUAACUAUUUACAAAGUAAGCAAAUGUACGAUGGCUAGUAUUUUAAAAUCUGUCCAGAUUUUAAAAAUUGUGUAUAGAGUAAUCCAGUCUUUAGUUAAUGCAAUACAAUAUUAACACCAAACAUUUACUGAAAUUGACAGCACCUUUUAGCUGUAAUUGAAUUAAGUCAGCAGCAAAUAAAAAAAAAAAAAAUACUAAAAAGUAAAAAAGUUUAACCGGUUUGUCAAUAGUGUCAAUAGUGAAAAAUAGCAUCGAUUCGCUACAGGAGGGCCUUUGUUCACCCCCACGAGCCGUGUGAGACAGGUCUUUUGGACUGAUGCACUGCAACACCCGCUGACUGCAAUGAUAGAUCUUGAAAGAUCAAAAGGCAAUUUUUUAAUAUAACCCCCGACUGGAUUCAUCUGAAAAGAAGAAAGUCAUAUACACCUAGGAUUCCUCGGGGGUGAGUAAAACAGCCUAAUUUUAAUUUUUGGGUGAACUAACCCUUUAAUGCUGAACAGGGUUGGCAGGUUUUUACAAGAAAACCCGCCCAAUCACUACUCAAACUAGCCCAAAACUAGCCCAACCGCCUUUCAAGGGGGUCACCAGUUAAAAAUCGCGUUCUGUGGGGUAAAAUACACAUUUGUUUUGGCAGGGUCCACCUGCUAAUAUUCGCAUUCCAGGGGAUAAAUAUCAUGUUAUUGGAGUCGCUUCAAACCCACGGACAUGAAAAACAACCCGCGGCAACAGUGUUAAAGUAGCCCAAUUCUGCGGGAAAACCACAGACUUGGCAACACUGAUGCUGAAGGAAGCAUUUUGUAGUUACAUGUACACAAAAAAAUAAGUUGCAUGCUGCAGUUCACCUAACGGCCUCCUGUGUCACUAAAAACAAGCGUCUCUCUAUUAUGCUUAUAUUCUCUUUAGCCUCUUUUUCUUACCAGCACAUUCAAAAUGUCUUCAAUUAUUCAUGAUAAUGAGCAUGUGCAUGAAAGAAGUUCCUGUUAGGACAGAAAUCAAUUCUUAGAUGAUAAAACUAGAAAAAAUCAAAUACAUAGGCCAACUACAUCUUUUUUGGUUUUUAUUGUUCAAACAUUUGGUCUCACCAAUGUUGUGUGUAUUCAUUUUGAAUAAUGUUACAUCAUAAACUCAUAGUUAACCAAACAAUAAAGAUGUAGAUAUCAUUUUGCAAUUCUGAGGAAUGCCCAUAAAUUCAUUGAAUCUCAUUGUAUAUGUGGAUGUGUGACAAUUAUGACAAUUAUUGAGGCAAGUGUUGAGGAGUUGACAUUGGCCUUCAUGCAGUUCCUCAAUGUUGAACAUAUGUGAGGUAAAUGUAAUUUGAUGGGUUGUAAUAGUGCACAUCAGAAAUACAGCAAUAAACAUAAAAUGAUGUUUAGUUACCCAGAUACAAUACUCAUACACAUUACAUAGACAUAAGCUAAACAUUUACAGUAAUGUUCUGAAUGAUACUAUAAGAUAAGCAACUUAUCAAGGCACAUCACAAGUAAUGAGACAACUACAACAAUUUUUUAUACCAGAGGUUAUAACAGACCAGAGCAAUAUAGAGAAAUAUACAUAUAAACCCAGUAAACAUGGUAGGCAGUGACAGGAUGUAACAGUUCUGCGGUGGAAAAUGUGCUCUGUGGUUUCACUGGUCACUGCAGACAAAAGCACAAAACUAAACAUAUUUCUACAUCUUACCUUACCAUCCGUUAUAUAUAAGUAUUGUAUUUAGAUGACCUGUGUUUGCAUUCACACUUUGAAUAGUUGAUAUUCAGAUUUUUUUUUUUUUUUUUAGGUAGCAUUACAACUUUUGUUUGUAAAUAUGUGGACAUGAUCAAUGCAAACUAUAUUCUGUGUAACUGACCAAGUGAUUUUUAUGCUGUGUAACUGACCAAGUGAUUUUUAUGUCCAAUACUCUUCUAUUGUAUAAAAGUGUAUUCUCAUCUGCUGUCUUAGGCAUUGCCCUCUGUCUUCAUCUCUUCCUUUACUAGUUCAGUCUCUACAGCACGUCUGCAAGCCUUCGCGAUCCUGGGCGGAGAGUAAAACAGUUUACACUCCUUCACAGCCCUUAAACUGAGUGUCCUGUUAUGGCCAGUUUUCAGACCAGGAUUCUUCGUCUGCAUCUCUGUGUUGUUAUUAUUCUCCUGACUCAUGCAGGUACUCUUCACUUGUUUUUGCAUUCUGAGAAAUGUGAGUUGAUAUGGCUAUAAAUUUAGCAUAGUUUGAUUACUAAUAAUAUUGUUUACCAAUUUACAAUUUAAUGCAGAUGUUGAAAAUGUUGUGUUUGUAUUCUAAUGUGUUUUGUUUAAAAGAUUAAACACCACAUGAACAAUGUAUUAUGUGUCUAAUGAGCUUUUGCAUGUUUGCUGUUUUCUACUGCACAUUUUUUACCAUCCAGUGAAAUUACUGUAAACCUGCAGUGAUUGUGAUUUUCUGUGUCUUUUCAUCAGAUUAUUCAAAAUCUAAUCAAGAGCAAUGGAUUCAGCAGCACAUCAACAAAACAGUGUUUGUGGGGGAAACAGUUACACUUCACUGCAACAAAACCCAACUUGAUGAUGAUUUCACAUGGAAAAUUAACAACUCGGUUAUUUUUAGGCAGGUCUCUUAUUUUAACAUAACUAAGACAAACUUCAGCUCCAACAGGAUUCACAUCGACCCCGCAGCUCCAAGAGAAUUAACAAUACAUCAAAUACAAGCGUCUGAUGCAGGCCUUCGCGAUCCUGGGCGGAGAGUAAAACAGUUUACACUCCUUCACAGCCCUUAAACUGAGUGUCCUGUUAUGGCCAGUUUUCAGACCAGGAUUCUUCGUCUGCAUCUCUGUGUUGUUAUUAUUCUCCUGACUCAUGCAGGUACUCUUCACUUGUUUUUGCAUUCUGAGAAAUGUGAGUUGAUAUGGCUAUAAAUUUAGCAUAGUUUGAUUACUAAUAAUAUUGUUUACCAAUUUACAAUUUAAUGCAGAUGUUGAAAAUGUUGUGUUUGUAUU
rnacentral:lncRNA from 1 species